rnacentral:rRNA from 1 species
UACAGAGGGUGCGAGCGUUAAUCGGAAUUACUGGGCGUAAAGCGCGCGUAGGCGGCUUUGCAAGUCGGGUGUGAAAUCCCCAAGCUUAACUUGGGAACUGCAUUCGAGACUGCAUUGCUAGAGUAUGGGAGAGGGAAGUGGAAUUUCAGGUGUAGCGGUGAAAUGCGUAGAUAUCUGAAGGAACACCAGUGGCGAAGGCGGCAUCUCGUGGCCAGUACUGACGCUGAGGAGCGAAAAGCGUGGGGGA